AUUGAACGCUGGCGGCAGGCUUAACACAUGCAAGUCGAGCGAGAGGCGGACGGGUGAGUAAUGUCUGGGAAUCUGCCUUAUGGAGGGGGAUAACUACUGGAAACUGUAGCUAAUACCGCAUACCAUCAGAUGUGCCCAGGUGGGAUUAGCUAGUAGGUGGGGUAAUGGGUCACCUAGUCGACGAUCCCUAGCUGGUCUGAGAGGAUGAACAGCCACACUGGGACGGAGACACGGGCCAGACUCCUACGGGAGGCAGCAGUGGGGAAUAUUGCGCAAUGGGCGCAAGCCUGAUGCAGCCAUGCCGCGUGUGUGAAGAAGGCCUUCGGGUUGUAAAGCACUUUCAGAGGGGAGGCGUUACUCGCAGAAGAAGCACCGGCUAACUCCGUGCGAGCAGCCGCGGUAAUAC
rnacentral:rRNA from 1 species